GGCGAAAGUGGCCUCCACAAUCGCCUCCUAGCCCGUCCAUUAGUCCGACCCAGCCGACUGAGCCGUCCUUCAGAAAACCCAAUCGUUGCUUUGUGUUUCAGGUAAUGAUGAUGAUGCCAAUUACUCAGUCCCAAUGCCAACUGAAUCCUAGCAGAGGUGUGGUUGCCUUUUCGGUUGUCACCGUUGGCAUCACCAGAUGGAUACAAGAAGAGAGAAGUUUUGAUGCUAAGGUUGACAGUCAUAAGUGGAGAGAUUCCUAAUCCAAUUAAGUUUCCAAUAUAUAUUCUCUUUGGAUCUGCUGAUUUUUCAUACUUUACAUUGUUUUUGGGCAGUACUGGUAACUGGCUUACAUCAGUGGUAUUUCAAAUGAAUGUGACA